UACGUAGGGGGCAAGCGUUGUCCGGAUUCAUUGGGCGUAAAGAGCGUGUAGGCGGCCAGGUAGGUCGGUUGUGAAAACUGGAGGCUCAACCUUCAGAGGUCGACCGAAACCAUCUGGCUAGAGUCCGGGAGAGGAGAGUGGAAUUCCUGGUGUAGCGGUGAAAUGCGCAGAUAUCAGGAAGAACACCCGUGGCGAAGGCGGCAUCCUGGACCGACACUGACGCUGAGGAGCGAAAGCCAGGGGAGCAAACGGG
rnacentral:rRNA from 1 species